UUGAUUCAUUCAGUAAUGAUUCCACUCAGACAUGCCAAAAGUUCAAAAAAUACAGAGAGUUUUGGGUCCCCGGCGGGCGCCUGGUUCCGGGGGCCAGGGCCUGGAGAGGCGCUGGCGUCCCGGGGCGAAAGACCCGCCGAAGCAACGGUGUAAAGGUAUAAGUUCACAGGGGGUUUGGGAGUUGUAAACUCGGUAAUGAUCCCUCCGCUGGUUCACCAACGGAGA
rnacentral:misc_RNA from 1 species